rnacentral:rRNA from 1 species
GACGAGGGAUCCAAGCGUUGUUCGGAAUUAUUGGGCGUAAAGCGGAUGCAUGUGGCUCUUUUUAGUCAGGUGUGAAAUCCCAGGGCUCAACCCUGGAAGUGCAUUUGAUACUGGAGAGCUUGAGUGCUAGAGAGGUAAGUAGAAUACCUGGUGUAGUGGUGAAAUACGUAGAUAUCGUGAGGAACACCAGAGGCGAAGGCGGCUACCUGGACAAUUGCUGACGCUCAGGCACGAAAGCGUGGGGAGCAAACAGG